AGUAUGAAAGAACUAGGUGUACGACAAGUAGGGCGGGACACGUGAAAUCCUGUCUGAAGAUGGGGGGACCAUCCUCCAAGGCUAAAUACUCGUGAUCGACCGAUAGUGAACCAGUACCGUGAGGGAAAGGCGAAAAGAACCCCGGGAGGGGAGUGAAAUAGAUCCUGAAACCGCAUGCAUACAAACAGUCGGAGCCUCGUAAGGGGUGACGGCGUACCUUUUGUAUAAUGGGUCAGCGACUUACGUUCAGUAGCAAGCUUAACCGAAUAGGGCAGGCGUAGCGAAAGCGAGUCCGAAUAGGGCGUUCAGUUGCUGGGCGUAGACCCGAAACCAAGUGAUCUAUCCAUGGCCAGGAUGAAGGUGCGGUAACACGUACUGGAGGUCCGAACCCACUAACGUUGAAAAGUUAGGGGAUGAGCUGUGGAUAGGGGUGAAAGGCUAAACAAACUUGGAAAUAGCUGGUUCUCUCCGAAAACUAUUUAGGUAGUGCCUCGUGUCUCACCUUCGGGGGUAGAGCACUGUCAUGGUUGGGGGGUCCAUUGCGGAUUACCCCGCCAUAGCAAACUCCGAAUACCGAAGAGUGCAAUCACGGGAGACAGACAUCGGGUGCUAACGUCCG
rnacentral:rRNA from 1 species